rnacentral:rRNA from 1 species
GACGAACGCUGGCGGCGUGCUUAACACAUGCAAGUCGAACGGAAAGGCCCUGCUUGCAGGGUACUCGAGUGGCGAACGGGUGAGUAACACGUGGGGGAUCUGCCCUGCACUUCGGGAUAAGCCUGGGAAACUGGGGCUAAUACCGGAUAGUAGCCAUUUUUAGUGUGAUGGUUGGAAAGUUUUUUCGGUGUAGGAUGAGCUCGCGGCCUAUCAGCUUGUUGGUGGGGUAAUGGCCUACCAAGGCGGCGACGGGUAGCCGGCCUGAGAGGGUGGACGGCCACAUUGGGACUGAGAGACGGCCCAGACUCCUACGGGAGGCAGAAGUGGGGAAUAUUGCACAAUGGGCGCCAGCCUGAUGCAGCGACGCCGCGUGGGGGAUGACGGCCUUCGGGUUGUAAACUCCUUUCGCUAGGGACGAAGCUUUUUGUGACGGUACCUAGAUAAGAAGCACCGGCUAACUACGUG